UAAAAAAAAUAAAAGGUAGUCAGAUUUUUGACUCACGUGAGCCCCACUCACUUACCCCUUAAUUCCCCACCACUCCUUUUCUCUCAAAAUAUCUCCCCUUUGGCCGGCUAGCUCUUCUCUCUUCUAACUUUGCUCUCUUUUUCUUUUUCAUUUUGUCUCAAACACCCACAAUCCUCUCUCACACUCCCUCACUCUCGCAUCAGUGCAUCACUCCACAGUCUCCACCAUUAUCUUCCGGCGAAAAAGCUCCAUAAAACCUCUUAUGCUCCUCCAUCUCAUCUUAUUUAAGCGUAGACAACAAUCUUUUGAGACAACUUUUUAGUGGUUAACAGCAGUUAGACUAACUACUGAUGGAGGCUGAACAUUUGUAAUGGAGAUAUUAGAUGAUGUACAUCUUAGAAUAGGUCUGACUCAUUCUUUUGUAUAUUAUAGUGGUUGUGAUGUUAUUCCCACUAAUGGACAAGUUGAUGAUAUGUAAUUAUUUAUUUAGACCUCUAUUCUUUUGUAGCCAAUGGUCUUCGUAAUUAUUGCUUAGAGCUCUGACUUAUUUUAAGAGUAUAUUCAAUGGAAUUAUUAUGAUAAUUCUUGAUAUUGGUACU